AGAACGAACGCUGGCGGCGUGCCUAACACAUGCAAGUCGAACGAGACCGCUGACUUCGGUUGGCGCGUCUAGUGGCGCACGGGUGCGUAACGCGUGGGAAUCUGCCCUUGGGUACGGAAUAACAGUUAGAAAUGACUGCUAAUACCGUAUAAUGACUUCGGUCCAAAGAUUUAUCGCCCAGGGAUGAGCCCGCGUAGGAUUAGCUUGUUGGUGAGGUAAAAGCUCACCAAGGCGACGAUCCUUAGCUGGUCUGAGAGGAUGAUCAGCCACACUGGGACUGAGACACGGCCCAGACUCCUACGGGAGGCAGCAGUGGGGAAUAUUGGACAAUGGGCGAAAGCCUGAUCCAGCAAUGCCGCGUGAGUGAUGAAGGCCUUAGGGUUGUAAAGCUCUUUUGCCCGGGAUGAUAAUGACAGUACCGGGAGAAUAAGCUCCGGCUAACUCCGUGCCAGCAGCCGC
rnacentral:rRNA from 1 species